GUCAUCUUUGAAGGCAUCGCCCGCGGAACGUGCGUGCCCCGUCUUGGUGGCUGCACGCGAACGCACCAGCGACCCUGCCUCUCCCUUCUCCUCUUUCUUCAAGUGCCGCCCCCAACGGGGUGGUCCCACCCCCUGUAUGGGGCCCGCAGAGACAGUGGCCGUUCCGUCCCCCUUCGUUCCUCGCGCUGGUCCCUCCGAGCAUAAAGUCAGGCACUCAGCGAGAGCCGUUCCCGUCUCCCCUCCUUCAUCCUGGUCUCCUUGUUCUAUCUGUCCUUCUCUCUCCUGGUUUCCUCUCCGUCUUCCUCCUGCCAGAGUCCUCCCUCUCCGUCGCAGCAUGGCCCCUGUUGCCUUUCGUUAUUCCCGGCGCCCUGGAGUCCCAAUGAGAGGGCAAGGCACAGCUACAUAGGAGAAGGGUGGAAGAUAAAGCGAAAGGAGCGAGCAGCGAAGAUGAGACGAAUGACUAAAGAGGAAGAGAGAGAACAAGCGUGGGAGUCAGGAUGGAGAUUCCCGUGCACGAAGGGAGACAUGAGGCCAGGGUUCCUCGACUCUUUCUAGACAUGGGCGAAGGCACGACAGAGGGAAAGCGAGAGAGAAAAACCGGACAAAACACGGACAGAAAAAUCCCGCAGAAUCUACCAACUACCUCAUUCUAUCUGGAGGCGAGGAAAAGACGGCAAAGAACGCGAAGAAGCAGGCAGAGAGGAGAUAGGGAGAAAUCGCGUUCGUUCCAGCGCCUGUGCACCCUCACAGUUUUGCCUUUUACGAGGAAAGCUUCGCGGUGAUUCAACGAGCUUCUUCUCCUUUGCAGUUCAGCAAAAACGCCUGCAUGGAUGGCGUGUCAACAGGCCGUGCAGGCGCGUGCAUUGGAAAACAGUUGCAGUUCCACAUGCAGCCGUAACGAUUGAAGUGUGCAUCCAGGUAGAUGGUUCCUAUAACACGGACCGAUGAAAUUCAAACUGCUCCGAGGAAUGGACGAAGAAAAAGUGACUCAGAAGACGACAGGUUUCCGCCUUUUGCUUUCUUUGCCUUCUCUCUCGGUUGAGACCGUCACCGUGUCUCGUUCCCGCUACCCCCGUCUCCCAGUCUUGCUCGGCAGUCCAG
rnacentral:lncRNA from 1 species